UGGGCUGGUCAUAAUGGUCCCAGGUCCAUCUAGGGUGGGGAUAGUGCCC
rnacentral:ncRNA from 1 species